rnacentral:rRNA from 1 species
AACGAACGCUGGCGGCGCGUCUUAAGCAUGCAAGUCGAGCGGUAAGGGGAGCUUGCUCCCCCUAGAGCGGCGGACUGGUGAGUAACACGUGGGUGAUCUACCUUUAGGUUGGGGAUAGCCGAUAGAAAUAUCGGGUAAUACCGAAUGAGGUGGCGUGUCCAAGGACACGUCAAGAAAGGAGCUACGGCUCCGCCUGAAGAUGAGCCCCGNGGCCCAUUUAGGCUAGUUGGGGGGUNUAACGGACCACCAAGGCGAUGAUGGGGUAGCCGGCCUGAGAGGGUGAACGGCCACACUGGGACUGAGAUACGGCCCAGACUCCUACGGGAGGCAGCAGCUAAGAAUAUUCCGCAAUGGACGAAAGUCUGACGGAGCGAGCCGCGUGGAUGAGGAAGGCCGAAAGGUUGUAAAGUCCUUUUGUCGAUGAAGAAUAAGUGUGGGAGGGAAUGCCCGCAUGAUGACGUUAGUCGGCGAAUAAGCCCCCGG